UACGAAGGGGGCUAGCGUUGCUCGGAAUCACUGGGCGUAAAGGGUGCGUAGGCGGGUCUUUAAGUCAGGGGUGAAAUCCUGGAGCUCAACUCCAGAACUGCCUUUGAUACUGAAGAUCUUGAGUUCGGGAGAGGUGAGUGGAACUGCGAGUGUAGAGGUGAAAUUCGUAGAUAUUCGCAAGAACACCAGUGGCGAAGGCGGCUCACUGGCCCGAUACUGACGCUGAGGCACGAAAGCCUGGGGAGCAAACAGG
rnacentral:rRNA from 1 species